CGAUGACUGACCUCAGAGGAUUUUCUCAGCAGCGGAUGGAUGAGGCCACCUGAAGGUCUGACAGCAGAGAAAGCGCUUGAAUUCAAAUCUGCGACCACCUUCGAGACAGACUUCAGUUUCCACCCCUGGAGCGACUCGUUAUUAAGACACGGCGCUUCAGACAGACUGUCAGCUUUAAGAAGCCCAGCUCAUCACAGAUCAGAAGAAACACAGCUUCACCUGUUGUCCACCAAACAAGAAACGCCUCCCCGAUGAGAUCYGCUUCUGUCUUCAUCAGACCGAGAGCCUGAAGGCAUUUCACACCAUCUGUCAGCUGGCCGGCCGGCCGCUCGGGCGGCAGGUCUCCAGCAGUCUGCAGCUGCUGCCGUGAAUACGAAGCAGAAUCGGAGAGUUAAAACUUCUCAACCUGAAAGUCAACACAAACUUAACAAAAAGUAAAUAAAUAAAUA